CCCAAUCGUACGAAAUUUUAGAAAAAUUAUAAAAAAAAAAACACAUGCAUAUGGCCAGCCACGCAAUGGGUAUCUCAAUACUCGAACAAGCCCGUCUAGGCCUUAAACUGACUAUAACUGUAGAAGUAAAUACUUACAAAUAGCCCCCCGCCAACAAUGCCAGCCAUGAGCCAGACUUGCAUGGUGAUGUGGUCUGUAUAUUUUGUUUGACCAUCCGGAAAGAUUAGUAAAAGGUUUGCGGUGAUGCACAGAAACGCCAUGGGGAGCAAGGAGAGCCCCACAAAACGUGAGCAUUUUCCAGUACACAUAUUGGGGGGAUUCAGUAAGGUGCUAGUUCCUUGCAAUGCGAAUCCUAUG